AUAACGACUCUCGGCAACGGAUAUCUCGGCUCUCGCAUCGAUGAAGAACGUAGCGAAAUGCGAUACUUGGUGUGAAUUCGAGAAUCCCGUGAACCAUCGAGUCUUUGAACGCAAGUUGCGCCCGAAGCCAUUAGGCCGAGGGCACGUCUGCCUGGGCGUCACGCA
rnacentral:rRNA from 1 species